AUGGGACAGCCCCCAGCCCUCCCGCCUCUGCUGCACGCCACGGGCCAGGCCCGACGCUCUCAGGCUGGUCUCACGGCCGUUCUCGUGCCCCCGCUCGCCCCCUCGCCUUCAGGUUGCUGCCUCGUGGUGUCGGGGCGGGACGAGAACCUGCAUCGGCGGUGAGGGAGGCCUGGGCGCGGCCCCCGGGAGGCUGUGGCGCGGGUCUGAGGAGAUUCCUUGGAAUGAAACCAUGGGAGAUCAGGGUUUGGGAGAGUCUCAUCAGAGCAGAUGGGCCAGCAGCAGCCAGAAAGCUUGUUGCCUUUGGCGCAGAGCACCAUCCUGGAUCUGAAUGUCUUGCCGGCCCUGUGGCUUAGCGGUUAAUUGCACACACUCCGCUGCUGGCGGCCCAGGUUCGGAUCCCGGGCGCGCACUGACGCGCCGCUUCUCCGGCCAUGCUGAGGCCGCGUCCCACAUACAACAACUGGAAGGAUGUGCAGCUAUGACAUACAACUAUCUACUGGGGCUUUGGGGGGAAAAAUAAAUAAAUAAAUAAA